GUGUGAGGAGGUGGGACUGGAGCAGUUGUGUGUGUGUGGUGGGGGGCAAUAGUGUGAGUGUCCUCAUAAAUGUCACCAUGAGUGACUGACAGAGUAGGCGGGUGGUAAUUCCAGUGGGUGACUAUCUCGGCAGCACUGCGAUGGGUGGGGAGCCAGAAUGCGUGAGAGGAUGCCGGUGGCAGGCGCCAAGACACUUCUGAGCUUGCCUCCUGGGGACGUCCUUCACGCCGGAAAGAAAGAACGAAUGUGUUUUCUCUGCCUGUUGAAAAUGAUUCCGAGCGAAGGGCCGCGCCUCCUGGCCGGCGCAAGCCUGACUCCGCUGUGUCAGAAGAUGAUCUUUCACAGAUGCUGAAAAGUUAGGAAGUGUAAUUACGGGGAAAUUGCGCUCAGGCAAACGAGUACAAGCCAAGGGCUGCCAGGCCCCAUUCCUCACCUGAACGCCCUGAUUGUGGCCGACAGCCCCACAUCUGUAUGUGCUUUGCAGCCAGAAGAGGAAAGAGAGGGGAAGCAGGAACGGGGUGGGGAGGGGAGGGAUAGGGAGGGGACCUGGAGCCACCCCUGCCAACGGCUCCCUGGCUUCCUCAGGGAGGAGCUGAGGGAAGGCCGAGGCCUGGGACACAUUCCUGGGUUCCGAGGGCCUUCUGGGGUGCCCUCAUUCCGGGGGGCGCUGGGGAGGAGGAGCUGGGGAAGAGAAGUAGAGCUGACGCCACUUCUAUUCUAUCCUCUUCACUUUACUGGUGGGGAAACUGAGGCUGCAGAUGGCCAAGGAGCACACAGUGAGUUAACAGUGCAGGCAGGAUAAGAUCCUCCACCUUCUGAACAGCAGGAGCUCUUGCCAGAGCCCCUGAGGGGCAGGGUGGGAGGGGCAAAUAAGGAGCAGACCCGGGGAGCAGCAGGGUGCCCCUGCCUCCCAGUCGGCAUCUGGUACCAGCCUUUGGGGUAGCUCUGCCCACUGGGCAGCCUUGGCAUUCCUUAAAUUCCUGGCUCUCAUCCUCCCACCAGGGCUCCUGCCCCAUGGCCCCUCUCUGCUGGAGCAACUGGGACUCCUCUCAGCAGACGGACCUGCAGCUCCUCCUUUGCUCUGUUUCUUCCCACUGGGCCCCUCCCCUCGCCUCGCCUCUCCUUUCAGCUCCUGGGAUAGCCCAGAGUUUGGAGCCUCCCGCUCUUGUUCAAACCCUCCUGGGCCAACUCAAGGGCACCCUGAUGCCCUCUGCUCCCCACAGGAUGGGCACUCCCUCCCUCCCACUCCUUGGCCCUCUCCUGGUCUAUGGAAACAAUUCUUCCCAUUGGGCAUAAGUUUGCUCCCCAUCUCCAUGCUUCUGGUAACAAGCUGCCCUGCCCCUGAGCCUCAGAGGAGGUACAGGCAGGCCCAGGCUGGAUAAUUAUCCCAACAUCCUCCUGGCCCCAGAAAUUGGGUCAGGGAAGAACAUGUGACUCCACAGGGCCAAUCAGAGUUCUUCUCUGAGAAGGACACUGGGAGCAGGAAGCUGGCUUCAGUCCCUCUGCAGCUGAUAGAUUGGGAAGCUGGAAGUUGGAAUCCAGACUUUUCUUUAUCCUGUAAAGUAGCCCACCUGCAGGAGUGCAUUCAACCGGGUUUCCAUCAGUUGCAAUCAAGAGACCUGAUGAAUGCAGCUGUCACAGAGCUGGAGCUUGGGUGUCCUGGGAAGUGUUGAUGGGUCCAAGUAUCGUGCCCUUUUGAUACACCUGGCUUUUCCAAGAAGUUUUCUGUCUGGAAUGCUGGCUGGGAAAGGGCAGGGAAACCCUUGUACAGCCAGCUCAAGCUGAGUGCCUGGAAGUGACGUAAAUGUUGGUGGUUUUGUCUAGUUUGGUGUCUUGCCUUAGCCACACCUGAAGUCAUUCUUGUAACUCAACGACUUUGCUUCAGACACAGCCAAUGAAGAGGGGAAAGGAGAGUGUUUGCAAAGCACCUAGAAUGUUCCAGGCAAAGUUACAUACCUUUCCUUCUUUUCAUUGACCUUACAUCUGUGAUCUCAUUUAAUCCUACAAUGACCCCAUGGGGGAUAUGUUAUAAUUCCUACUUGAUAGGUGAGAAAACUGAGGCUCAGGAAGAUUAAGUAACUUGCUUAAGGUCUCUGAGCUAGAAUGGGGCAGAGUGGGAACUCCAACCCAAAUGUGUGUGUUUGUAAACUCUGACCUUUCUCCAGCGCCUUGCUUCCUCUGGAGAACUAAACCCUCCCUUGGAAGGACAUGAUGGAAACUCAACAGCCAACUUGACAGUCAGGAACUGCAUAGUCUCCUGUGAAUGAUUUAUGAUUACAUCAGUGAUGAGACUCUGGAAUCACAUCUUGUGAUUGACUUGAAGGUUAGCUCCAAUACCAGCUCCUAUGAACACAUCCACCCUCCAAGAAGACUUCACCUCUCUCUCUCCAGGCCUGCGAUAUGCAGUUCCUAGAAUGUGACUAGGAUGAGCUGUGAAAGUGUCAGUUUUUUCUACCAGGGCACCAGGACUCAGGACACCUUGACUUUGCCUAAUCAGUGAGUUCCCAGGACUGAGAUGACACUCAACCCGUGUUUUCCAGAAUAAUUAGGUUGACGCCUUGUCUGUGUCUCUUCUCUGAAUUUAUCUAACAUGCCUGGGAUUAGAGUCGUGGAAGUAGUUCCAGGAAUAUGACCAAGCCCAGGGCUCCUUGUACCCCUCUGCCCCAGGCACCAGGGACUUCCAUGUCCCCUCCACCAAGCAGUUCAACCUUGGGUAAAUAACCUCUCUUCUCUGAGCCUUAAUUUCCUCCACAAUAAGAUGAAUAAGUUGGUCAAAAUCAUCUCUAAAAUCUCUCUUAGCCUAAAAAUCCUCCCAGCAGGUUCUCACAAAAGCAAACCAAUUAAUAAUGGUGAACAAAUUUUUGAAUAGUGGAAACCAAAGCACAGAAACAGACAAUUCAAGCAGAAAGGAUCGACUGGGUUGACAAGGAUGUUGACAACGAUGACAAUAUUUAUCAUGAUCAUUUAUUGCAUUGCCAUGUUAGGCACUUUGUAUAUACUUUCUUGGAUCUUCCCAAUAAACCUUUAAGGGGAGAGUAAAACCCAUUUUAUAGAUGAGGAAACUGAGGUUCAGAGAGCUGAUAUGAUUUUUCUCAUUGUCCUACCAGAAAAUGGCUAAGAACCUGGAGCUGGACCCCCUGGGUCCCCUCCGGUACUCUUCUGGAACAUUCCAGGCAGGCCCAAGUGGCCAGAGCAGGCCCCGCCUGCCUCCCCCCUGCCCUCUGCGGCUGUUUUGCAUCCUGCCAGAUUCCUGAGGUGUCAGGCCUCAUUACAGCCCCGUGCCCCAGUGAGCGUGGAGAGGCAGUUGACAGGUAUACAAUCUGACCGCGGCUCCCUUCAAAUCAUCAAGUUGUCUUCAGGCAGGAACAUGCCGGGAAGCCAGGCAGAGGCCCCUGGCUUGGCUGCAUAAUCUGAUGCACAUUAAAAACAUCUUUCGGAUGCCUUUUCUUGUUGCACGCUCAUUCUCACUGUUUUGUUUUGAUUUUUGUCCUCCAUCCAACAAAAGCUGAUGAAUAGUCAACUCUCUAGGCUGUCUGGUCCAAGCAGGGUCUCACCAACCGGACAGGUAUUCAGGGACUACUGACCUUCUCCGUGUUUGCCUGGCAUCUGGGUGACAGUGCCUGUGGCACAGGGCCACAUCCUAGCAAGGCUGGACAAGAACCCAUACUCUGCCUCCCUGUCCAAUUCCAGGGUGUGAGUUCAAUUUUACCACGACACUCAACGGAGAGCCUGGACUAAUAAUAAUCAUUGCUGGCAUCAAGUGAAUGCUUGAUUUGGGGGCUGAACCCCUUUUUAUGUUUGGGGAAUUCUCCAUCCCAGGAUGAGAGUAGGGAGAGAAGAGUCAGCUUUCCACCAAGAAGCGAAGAAAGCCAGAUCCUUGCUCUCCUGGGGCCUUUGCAACCAGGAAGUGGACAUGUGACCAGAGCCAGCUAAUCCGACGCUCCUGUCCAAAACUGGACUCCGGCCAGAAGCCAUGGAAAGUUCUGCUCCACAGCUACAAGUAUCCUAGAGUGGCCAGGCCACAAAUGGUAGCAACAGGAGUGGGGUGCCUUGGGCUGCAGGUGGCAAACAGGAAGCCUCAUCUGCGGGUUCCAUAGCAUGGCUUGGAUUGUGGUUUUGGCCGCCGACUUCUCUCUUGUUCUGGCUUUGUCUGACCCUGGAUUACCAGCCUUCCUAGAGACGAUGAGCUGUUACCUUUCUGCUUAAAGCAGUCAAAGGCCACUUUCGUUGUUAAUAACUAAGACCUCUGGCUAGAACCCCUGUGAUCGCUUGUUUAAUUCUCAUAUCAAUCCUUCAGGUAGCUAUUAGCCUCAUGUUACAGACGAGGAAAUUGAAGCACAGAGGGAUUAAGUAAUAGGAAGUCACACAGUAAAAAAUGGCAGGGCCAUGGAUUCAAACCCAAGUCCGUGGACUUCAGAGCCUGGGCUCUUAACUACUUCAAGAAAGAGCUUUGA